GGCGAGGUAGCUCAGCUGGUUAGAGCGCAGCACUCAUAAUGCUGAGGCCGAGGGUUCGAGUCCCCCUCUCGCUACCG
rnacentral:tRNA from 1 species